rnacentral:rRNA from 1 species
CCUACGGGUGGCUGCAGUAAGGAAUAUUGGUCAAUGCCCGCAAGGGUGAACCAGCCAUUCCGCGUGGAGGAUGAAGGCCCUAUGGGUUGUAAACUUCUUUUAGAUGGGAAGAAAAUGCUAGAUGUAUCUGGUACUGACGGUACCAUCAGAAUAAGCACCGGCUAACUCCGUGCCAGCAGCCGCGGUAAUACGGAGGGUGCGAGCGUUAUCCGGAAUUACUGGGUUUAAAGGGUGCGUAGGCGGAUGAUUAAGUCUAAGGUGAAAGUUUGUCGCUUAACGAUAAAAUUGCCUUGGAUACUGGUUAUCUUGAAUAAGGAUGAGGAUGGCGGAAUGUGGCAUGUAGCGGUGAAAUGCAUAGAUAUGCCAUAGAACACCAAUUGCGAAGGCAGCUAUCUGGUCUUUUAUUGACGCUGAGGCACGAAAGCGUGGGGAUCGAACAGGAUUAGAUACCCCAGUAGUC